rnacentral:lncRNA from 1 species
AAGAAUGAAGCUUCUACUGGUGGAGAUUCAAGUGUGCUUUGGAACUUAAUGCCAGCCCCUAUAAAAAUCUGCACUCGACGGAGCUUCAGAAAUCGAAGAGGCGCCUGCUCAGAAAUCGAAGAGGCGUUUGCUUUCUCAAAAGCUGGGCUGCUUAGAGAUCACGAGGGUUGAUCUUAGAAAUCGAAGAGGCGUUUGCUUUCUCAAAAGUUGGGCUGCUCAAAGACCAAGAAGGCCGAUCUCAGAAAUCGAAGAGGCGCUCGCUUUCUCAAAAGCUGGGCUCCCU